CACCGCGGUUAUACGAGAGGCCCAAGUUGACAAACACCGGCGUAAAGCGUGGUUAAGCUUAAAACACAAACUAAAGCCAAACAUCUUCAAAGCUGUUAUACGCAACCGAAGACAGGAAGUUCAACCACGAAAGUGGCUUUAUUUAGUCUGAGCCCACGAAAGCUAAGGAA
rnacentral:rRNA from 1 species